CCCUUAGAUGUCCUGGGCUGCACGCGCGCUACACUGGUACAGCCAAUGAGUAUCUUUUACCGAUUGGUGAAGAGAAACCUUAUGAAACUGUAUCGUGACGGGAACAAACGAUUGCAAUUAUUCGUUUCGAACGAGGAAUUCCUAGUAAGCGUGAGUCAUCAGCUCAUGCUGAUUACGUCCCUGCCCUUUGUACACACCGCCCGUCGCUCCUACCGAUUGGAUGAUCCGAUGAGCUAGUCUGAAUUUUGUCCUACAACCUGUAGGACGAUAUGAAGUCUCGCGAAUCUUAUCAUUUAGAGGAAGGAGAAGUCGUANCA
rnacentral:rRNA from 1 species